AACGAACGCUGGCGGCGUGCUUAAGACAUGCAAGUCGAACGGUAAGGCCCCCUUCGGGGGGCACACGAGUGGCGCACGGGUGAGUAACGCGUGGGUAAUCUACCCCUGGGUCUGGGACAACUUCGGGAAACUGGAGCUAAUACCGGAUAAGACCACGAGCUCCUCGGAGCUUGCGGAAAAAGGUGGCCUCUCCUUGGAAGCUACCGCCCGUCGAUGAGCCCGCGUCCCAUUAGCUUGUUGGUGAGGUAACGGCUCACCAAGGCGACGAUGGGUAGCUGGUCUGAGAGGAUGAUCAGCCACACUGGAACUGAGACACGGUCCAGACUCCUACGGGAGGCAGCAGUCGGGAAUCUUGGGCAAUGGGCGCAAGCCUGACCCAGCAACGCCGCGUGAGGGAUGAAGGCCUUCGGGUCGUAAACCUCUGUCGGGAGGGAAGAACGGUUGCCGUUCGAAUAGGGCGGGAAUCUGACGGUACCUCCAAAGGAAGCGCCGGCUAACUCCGUG
rnacentral:rRNA from 1 species